UAUGCCGAUAUGCUGAACACGCCUCGACACUGGGAACCGAGCGAUUCUCUCAAUUCGCGCAGAUUCCCCCACCGAGUUCCACCUCUCCGAGACAACACCGGCACACGGAUAUUUAAGAAGGUCGCAAGCAGAAAUCAGUCAGUCCUGAACGACCGUUCUGGGCUCCAUAACCAGCCAAGCAAAGUGAGCGAGGCAGACCGACCUGAGUCGCGACGGGCACCGUAUUGACGUGAUUCGCAAACUUAGGCAGGCCAACUCGAGACGCAAGGUGUACCGAAGUGAGGUAAUUUGCGACUCGUAAUUCAACGGAGGCAAGCGUAGUGAACGCCCAUCCGGAGGAGGAAUUCGCUGGGACGAAAUAGAAAAUUGAAUUAUUAUAUUGACUUAUUUUGUACAUAAUUUAGAAUUAUGUAAUAUAUUUGCUUUGUUUUCAA